GACGAACGCUGGCGGCGUGCCUAAUACAUGCAAGUCGAGCGAACCUUUAAAAGCUUGCUUUUAAAGGUUAGCGGCGGACGGGUGAGUAACACGUGGGCAACCUGCCUGUAAGACUGGGAUAACUUCGGGAAACCGGAGCUAAUACCGGAUAAUUCUUUUCUACACAUGUAGGAAAGCUGAAAGACGGUUUCGGCCGUCACUUACAGAUGGGCCCGCGGCGAUUUAGCUAGUUGGGGAGGUAAUGGCGCACCAAGGCAACGAUGCGUAGCCGACCUGGGAGGGUGAUCGGCCACACUGGGACGGAGGCACGGCCCAGACUCCUACGGGAGGCAGCAGUAGGGAAUCUUCCGCAAUGGACGAAAGUCUGACGGAGCAACGCCGCGUGAGUGAUGAAGGUUUUCGGAUCGUAAAACUCUGUUGUUAGGGAAGAACAAGUACGAGAGUAACUGCUCGUACCUUGACGGUACCUAACCAGAAAGCCACGGCUAACUACGUGCCAGCCGCCGCCGUAAGAC
rnacentral:rRNA from 1 species